GAAAUUAAUACAUACCGCUUUCAUCCGCUGGCCGUGGUCUGCUCCCCGCAGUGUACAGCCGAGGCGCAGAGUCCCUCCGGGGAAAAGCCCCGUGGCGCCUGAGGGUGUCUGCUCCCAACCGGACCUGCGGACGUUCCAUAUGCAAUACACUGCACGACUUUUUCAUGCGUAUUCAACCCCUGGCCCCGCCUGUCCUCGCUUCUCAUGCUAAAGCUGUCACAGAGCAGAAGGGCAGAUGAGAUGCUGAAAAGCAGCAAAGCUGAACAGCCUGCCUCAGCUUCAGCAGUGUGCAAUUGACUGAAGGCGAAAAACCAAGCAGCAGAGC